UCCGUAGGUGAACCUGCGGAAGGAUCAUUAACGAGUUUUGAAACGGGUUGUUGCUGGCCUUCCGAGGCAUGUGCACGCCCUGCUCAUCCACUCUACACCUGUGCACUUACUGUAGGUUGGCGUGGGUUUCUAGCCUCCGGGUUGGAAGCAUUCUGCCGGCCUAUGUACACUACAAACUCUUAAAGUAUCAGAAUGUAAACGCGUCUAACGCAUCUUAAUACAACUUUCAGCAACGGAUCUCUUGGCUCUCGCAUCGAUGAAGAACGCAGCGAAAUGCGAUAAGUAAUGUGAAUUGCAGAAUUCAGUGAAUCAUCGAAUCUUUGAACGCACCUUGCGCUCCUUGGUAUUCCGAGGAGCAUGCCUGUUUGAGUGUCAUGAAAUUCUCAACCCAUAAAUCCUUGUGAUCUAUGGGCUUGGAUUUGGAGGCUUGCUGGCCCUAACGGUCGGCUCCUCUUGAAUGCAUUAGCUUGAUUCCGUGCGGAUCGGCUCUCAGUGUGAUAAUUGUCUACGCUGUGACCGUGAAGCGUUUUGGCAAGCUUCUAACCGUCCAUUAGGACAAUUUUAUAAGAUCUGACCUCAAAUCAGGUAGGACUACCCAAUGAACUUAAGCAUAUCAAUAAGCGGAGGA
rnacentral:rRNA from 1 species